GGACUCGGACCCGGGGCGGUCGCACCGCUUGUCCCCCCUUGUAAGCCGGCCCUGAGUCUAGCCCUGCUACCGUUCAACGAAAGAUGCGCCUCUCAAUUUGGAUGCCCAACAAUUUACCCCUGCCCUGUCUCAGAUGCUGUCUGUUUAGAUAUAUCUGACCCUACAUCUGUUACUGAGAUCGGUAUUGUAGCUGAUCUUCGUAGUGAAAAAGGUCUUGUGAUCGCAAUUUCUGUUGACCCAAUGACGAAUGAAGCUCUGCCAAGUUACCUACUGAAGGGAAUAAAGAGUUUCGUAAAGAUAGCGUCCCAGCAAGCUCAAUGGUGAAAAAUCCAUUGUGAGAAGAGGCACCGGUAGCUCAGGGGUCUGAUACCUGGUGAUCAAGGGCUAAAGGCAUCACAAAUAGACUUCAGAAAAAGGUAAACUUUUCAUUGUUAUGUCAGGGGAAAUUUGUGAUAAAUACCUAAUUCAGCAGUUGAGAAGAAAAGGAAGGGCUAGGAAUGUUUUGUCCUAGGGCAAUUCUACUCAGAUGCAUCCUCUAGAUCCAUCCUCUCAAAGUAUAAUUCACAACAUUGUUAAUGGAAUUCGAAACACACAAUUCAGAGAUAUUGAGGUCUCAACAAUGGAGGGUCAUGCCUUUCUCUUAGGAUCCUGAGUUUGGCUACAAAAAACAGUGUUUA
rnacentral:lncRNA from 1 species